rnacentral:rRNA from 1 species
UACGUAGGGUGCAAGCGUUAAUCGGAAUUAUUGGGCGUAAAGGGUGCGUAGGCGGUUCGGUAAGUUUCGUGUGAAAUCUUCGGGCUCAACUCGAAGUCUGCACGAAAUACUGCCGGGCUUGAGUGUGGGAGAGGUGAGUGGAAUUUCCGGUGUAGCGGUGAAAUGCGUAGAUAUCGGAAGGAACACCUGUGGCGAAAGCGGCUCACUGGACCACAACUGACGCUGAGGCACGAAAGCUAGGGGAGCAAACAGG